AGCCGCCCGUACCCUAAACCGACACAGGUGGAUAGGUAGAGAAUACCAAGGCGAUCGAGAGAAUCGUGGUGAAGGAACUCGGCAAAAUACCCCCGUAACUUCGGGAUAAGGGGGACCUGACACGUCAACACAUUUUCUGUGGGUAGCGUGGAGGGUCGCAGAGACCAGGCCCAAGCGACUGUUUACUAAAAACACAGGUCCGUGCGAAGUUGUAAGACGAUGUAUACGGACUGACUCCUGCCCGGUGCUGGAAGGUUAAGGGGAACUGUUAGCGCAAGCGAAGCGGUGAACUUAAGCCCCAGUAAACGGCGGUGGUAACUAUAACCAUCCUAAGGUAGCGAAAUUCCUUGUCGGGUAAGUUCCGACCUGCACGAAUGGAGUAACGAUUUGGGCGCUGUCUCCACCACGAACUCGGCGAAAUUGCACUACGAGUAAAGAUGCUCGUUACGCGCAGCAGGACGGAAAGACCCCGGGACCUUUACUAUAGUUUGGUAUUGGUGAUCGGUACAGCUUGUGUAGGAUAGGUGGGAGACUGUGAAGUCCGGACGCUAGUUCGGGUGGAGUCAUCGUUGAAAUACCACUCUGGCUGUUCUGGUUAUCUAACCUCGGACCAUGAUCUGGUUCAGGGACAGUGCCUGAUGGGUAGUUUGACUGGGGCGGUCGCCUCCUAAAAGGUAACGGAGGCGCCCAAAGGUUCCCUCAGCCUGGUUGGCAAUCAGGUGUUGAGUGUAAGUGCACAAGGGAGCUUGACUGUGAGACUGACAAGUCGAGCAGGGACGAAAGUCGGGACUAGUGAUCUGACGGUGGCGUGUGGAAGCGCCGUCACUCAACGGAUAAAAGGUACCCCGGGGAUAACAGGCUGAUCUUGCCCGAGCGUCCAUAGCGACGGCAUGGUUUGGCACCUCGAUGUCGGCUCGUCGCAUCCUGGGGCUGGAGUCGGUCCCAAGGGUUGGGCUGUUCGCCCAUUAAAGCGGCACGCGAGCUGGGUUUAGAACGUCGUGAGACAGUUCGGUCCCUAUCCGCUGCGCGCGUAGGAAUCUUGAGAGAGGCUGUCCUUAGUACGAGAGGACCGGGACGGACUAACCUCUGGUGUGCCAGUUGUACUGCCAAGUGCACGGCUGGUUGGCUACGUUGGGAAGUGAUAACCGCUGAAAGCAUCUAAGCGGGAAGCACGCUUCAAGAUGAGGACUCUCACACCUUGUGGUGGUAAGGCCCCCGGAAGACCACCGGGUUGAUAGGCCAGAUGUGGAAGCACAGUAAUGUGUGGAGCUGACUGGUACUAAUAGGCCGAGGGCUUGUCCCA
rnacentral:rRNA from 1 species